rnacentral:rRNA from 1 species
ACCUGAUGCAGCCAUGCCGCGUGUGUGAAGAAGGNCUUCGGGUUGUAAAGCACUUUCCGCGAGGAGGAAGAUUAAGUAGUUAAUACCUGCUUGGUUUGACGUUACUCGCAGAAGAAGCACCGGCUAACUCCGUGCCAGCAGCCGCGGUAAUACGGAGGGUGCGAGCGUUAAUCGGAAUUACUGGGCGUAAAGCGUACGCAGGCGGCCAUUUAAGUCAGAUGUGAAAGCCCCGGGCUCAACCUGGGAACUGCAUUUGAAACUGGAUGGCUAGAGUGCGACAGAGGGUGGUAGAAUUUCAGGUGUAGCGGUGAAAUGCGUAGAGAUCUGAAGGAAUACCAAUGGCGAAGGCAGCCACCUGGGUCGACACUGACGCUCAUGUACGAAAGCGUGGGUAGCAAACAGGAUUAGAUACCCUGGUAGUCCACGCCGUAAACGAUGUCUACUAGCAGUUUGGAGCUUAAGCUCUGUCUUGCGCAGCUAACGCAUUAAGUAGACCGCCUGGGGAGUACGGCCGCAAGGUUAAAACUCA